rnacentral:rRNA from 1 species
AGCUGGCGUCUUCGGCGUCCGCAUUGUAAUCUCAAGAAGUGUUUUCCGCUUCGGACCAAGCCUAAGUCCCCUGGAAAGGGGCAUCAUAGAGGGUGAUAAUCCCGUACAUGGCUUGGAGCGCCCGAGGCUUUGUGAUACGCUUUCUAAGAGUCGAGUUGUUUGGGAAUGCAGCUCAAAAUGGGUGGUAAAUGCCAUCUAAGGCUAAAUAUUGGGGAGAGACCGAUAGCGAACAAGUACAGUGAUGGAAAGAUGAAAAGAACUUUGAAAAGAGAGUUAAACAGUACGUGAAAUUGCCAAAAGGGAAGGGUAGGAGGUCAGAGAUGCGGCCUGGGAUUCAGCCUUGCUUUUGCUUGGUGUUUUUCCCAGAUUGCAGGCCAACGUCGGUUUUGGGCACUGGAGAAGGGUAGGAGGAACGUGGCACCCCUCGGGGUGUGUUAUAGCCUCCUACUGGAUACAGCGACUGAGACCGAGGACAGCAGCGUACUCGCAAGAGCGGGCCUUCGGGCACCUUUACGCUUAGGGCGUUGGCAUAAUGGCCCUCUACCACCCGUCUUGA